AACGAACGCUGGCGGCAUGCCUAACACAUGCAAGUCGAACGAACCCUUCGGGGUUAGUGGCGCACGGGUGCGUAACGCGUGGGAAUCUGCCCUUUGCUUCGGAAUAACAGUUAGAAAUGACUGCUAAUACCGGAUGAUGUCUUCGGACCAAAGAUUUAUCGGCAAAGGAUGAGCCCGCGUAGGAUUAGGUAGUUGGUGGGGUAAAGGCCUACCAAGCCGACGAUCCUUAGCUGGUCUGAGAGGAUGAUCAGCCACACUGGGACUGAGACACGGCCCAGACUCCUACGGGAGGAAGCAGUGGGGAAUAUUGGACAAUGGACGCAAGUCUGAUCCAGCAAUGCCGCGUGAGUGAUGAAGGUCUUAGGGUUGUAAAGCUCUUUUACCAGGGAUGAUAAUGACAGUACCUGGAGAAUAAGCUCCGGCUAACUCCGUGCCAGCAGCCGCCGUAAGAC
rnacentral:rRNA from 1 species